CCGCGUGAGUGAUGAAGGCCUUAGGGUCGUAAAGCUCUGUUGAAUGGGAAGAAAAAAAUGACGGUACCAUUCGAGAAAGGAUCGGCUAACUUCGUGC
rnacentral:rRNA from 1 species